UUCGUAGCUCAGUUGGCAGAGCAUCGCACUAGUAACGCGGAGGUCAUGGGUUCAAUAUUGCAAUUGCAAAA